AGUGAACGCUGGCGGUAGGCCUAACACAUGCAAGUCGAACGGCAGCACAGUAAGAGCUUGCUCUUACGGGUGGCGAGUGGCGGACGGGUGAGGAAUACAUCGGAAUCUACUUUUUCGUGGGGGAUAACGUAGGGAAACUUACGCUAAUACCGCAUACGACCUACGGGUGAAAGCAGGGGAUCUUCGGACCUUGCGCGAUUGAAUGAGCCGAUGUCGGAUUAGCUAGUUGGCGGGGUAAAGGCCCACCAAGGCGGCGAUCCGUAGCUGGUCUGAGAGGAUGACCAGCCACACUGGAACUGAGACACGGUCCAGACUCCUACGGGAGGCAGCAGUGGGGAAUAUUGGACAAUGGGCGCAAGCCUGAUCCAGCCAUACCGCGUGGGUGAAGAAGGCCUUCGGGUUGUAAAGCCCUUUUGUUGGGAAAGAAAAGCAGCAGGUUAAUACCCCGCUGUUCUGACGGUACCCAAAGAAUAAGCACCGGCUAACUUCGUG
rnacentral:rRNA from 1 species